rnacentral:lncRNA from 1 species
GCGAGCUCUCUUGGACAUCUAGCCCAGUCAAAGCCUUGGGUGACUGUCACCCCAGCCAGCAUCUGAUGGCAACUUCAGAGAGAACCCAGAUGAGAACUGCUCAGCUGAACCCAGUCAUCCAAAAAACUGUGAGAAAUAGCAUCUGGUCCUCAAGCUGUGAGUGAUGUGCCUUAGGGGCAGGAGGAAAGUCAAGUCCUCCUGGGCCUUGGAUGACUCCCUUGCAAGAAUACAUCCUGUGAGUUGAGACCAGAAGCAGCAACCAGAAUAACUAGAUGAUUACUCUUCUCUUCAUGUGGUCA